rnacentral:lncRNA from 1 species
AGUAUUAGCAUUCAGUGUACCCUUGGAGCUGAUGGUUUAACUUGACGAGUAGGGAUUGGUACCCUUUGGAACACCAUUUGGGAGGAGUUGGCUUCAAUCUCAAGGGAAGGAAACAGUGGUGCAGCUGGAGGUGUCAUCAACCUGACAAUAAACUGUUCCUUUUAGAAGCAAUUCCAUCCUAUGCAAGAAUACGGUUGAGGGUACAGGCUCGAGUUUAAUCCUAUCGUACCAGUCAUAGUCAUGCUUCUCGUCCACUGGUAUGAGGAAGUCUCUCUUUCCUGGGGGAACUUUGCAGCCAUGACCACCUAGC